AUGAAAAAUUGAAGCCAUCAGCAUGAAAUUGUGAAGUUAACAGGCUGAUGAAAUUCCUGGGAACCUUGACUUCAGACAACCACCACUGCCUCAAGCCCUGUCCUACCUCACUAAUAGUUAAGCAUAACCUCUGGGAACUAGAGGAGGAUAAAUAUGUCUCUCACAUAACCCUUGAGAGGAAUUGUUUAGACAUGAAUUUGUAGCCCAAUUCUGUCACUUAGUAUCUAUGUAGCCUUGAGGAACUUGCUAUGUCUCCAUUUAAUCUAGCUUGCACAGUAGUUAUGCCUACCUCAUAGGAUAACUAUAAACAUUAAAUGAGUUUAUAUCAAGCCUUUAGAUCAAUUCCUGGCCUGUUAGCCACUGUUAGUCCCUCAGAGCUGAGUUUCUUCCACUGACUGAGCUGCCUAGAGGACUGUCCAUAUCUGCAUGGUAAUAUCUAUAUGUAAAGAGUUGUCCAAAGAAGUCCAUGGGCUCAUAUCGGGAAGAGCUUAAGGUGAUCCUAGGUCAAGAAUGGAGGUUGAAAACAAAUAAAAAUUUUAAUUACAAUGACAAAUAAAAGUCAUAGAACAUUGUAAAGCACUAUUUGCUCCAGACCGGGGCGAAUAGGUUAGAGAGCAUUUGAUCAGCUUUCGAUAUUUCCUAUGGAACUACUCCAACCUGGUGAACCUGGCUUAAAAAUUGCAUGCUGCUUUGGCAGGGUACAUCCUGUAAUGGCAUGCUCUUUUAGAGUUGCGUGCCUCCACAGCAUAUGAACGGGCUUGGGCUUUGAUGAAUACUGAAAGCAGAAAUCAGUCCCUUGAAAUGAAUUUCUGAAGAAGAGCUUAAGGGUUUGGAUCCAUUUCUCCUAUCAUUAAAAAGUUUGCUCUCUUAAGGAAAUCCUGCUCACUUUAAAUUAUAGAAAUUUAGAGCCAGAAGGCACCUUAGAGAUCAUUCCUUAUUCUCCUAAAAGGGAGGAACGUGUUGCUAACUAGGUCUGAGGUUUAAUCAUCAAGUUCUGAACAAGACCCUGGCAUUUUCUAGUGCUCCUAGGAUCUCUGUUUCCCCUUCCUCAACUGAAACUUCUGAAAGGAUUUUUAAAAAUUUACUGAAUGUUCUUGUUAACCACUCUUUGCUAGGUCACUUUAAACAAAGGAGACCUAUUGAUUAAGAAAAUAAAGAACAACAACAGAAGGUCACUUCUAAAUGAUGGUAUUGGAUCGGCUUGGAAUAAUGUCCUUUAGAGCAAUAUGGUGUUUUCAGUGGAAUGUAGGAUGCACCUGCAAAGCCUGUUUUGGUCAGUGCUAAGGGAGAGGGAAGGAUCCAUCCUGUGUAGAUAAUCCACGUUCCCACAGCUCUUUGCCUUCUGAAAACUUGUUUACAGUGGAAGAAGUAGGAUACCAGUAAGUCACAAUUGCUGUGUAGGCAGCCCAGCAGAGUAGCAAUUACGUUCCCAGCUUUGGGCAUUUUCUUCUGUGGUUUAUACAUCUUGAAUUUCAACUUUUAAAAAUGUUCUUGAAAAUUCCACAAAUGAUGUGAAAUAUGAGGGAGGGGAGAGACAUGAGCCCGUAUUUUUUAAAGGUCUUACUUCACCCAGGAUGCAGGGAGCAAUGGUGAGUUCACCCAAGAAGCCUCAUGACAAAUGUGGAAGUUAAGUUUCACAUUGUGUUCGAGUCCUUGGGUUAAUAUUUAGCAAAAUUGGUUUGCAGAGUUGGGUCCGGCUCCAGACCUCUUUGGUCAACAUUUUUAGAUCCGUGCUGCUUGUGGAAGUCAUGGAUGAGCACAGGAUUGGUAUAAGGGCAUUGCCUGUAUAGGCAUCUGCUUUGCAUUCUGCAAGCUCCGUUGAGGGUAGAAGUACCAUCUUAAUUAUCUUUCCACUGGAAUGAAAUGCUCUUGUUCUGUAGUAACUAGAUAUUCUGACAUUGACACAAACCUCAUAGCUAAUUAUAGGCCCAAUCAGGCUUUCAAAGAUUGGACUUCUCAGCUGGAAAUUAAGUAGGAUUUCACACUAAGUACCUGCUUGGCACUUAGUAGUUGGUAAAUAAACAUUAGUUUUCUUCUCUCUCUUCAUGUAGCCCUGAAGGUGGGACAAGGCUAUGUGUGGAGAGGAGCUGGGUUGAAGUGGUGAUGUGUUCUGGGGUUCUUGAAUAUACCAGGAGGUUUAUUUACUACAAUGGAAAAAAAUCACAGUGUCAGACUAAAUCCCUUAGGAUCAAAUGUGCUACCGAGCAUUGUACUCAGAAUUUGAACAUCAUUUACAUUAUUGCCUCCGAGGAAAUUCAAUGACUCCCAAAUAAUGUAUAAUACAUUUUUGACCAGCAGAGCCCACAUCAUAGUCCACUCAUCUCAGCACUUCGGGUGAUAGAUGUUGCAAUUUAUUCAAAGAGUUAUGAUUUUCUGAGGAAAUGGUGACUCAUUUAAUGGCUUAGAUAUUCACUCUUUAGAACCUGUGAGGUGAAAUGUUCAUGGUACAAGUUUACGCAGGAGGUAUUACCAUGCUGAGUGCUUACUGAACAAGGUUUCAGCUGGGAAGUGUAUUCCAAGGCAAUACACUGGAUGGUGUUUGCAAACACCUACUACACUGCUUACGUGAGAAGCAGAAUCUAGAGAACUCUCCCUUAAACGGUACCUAAUCUUAAGUUCUUGCUUUAAAAAAUACACAGAAAGUCUGCACCCAAAGGCAGUUAUCAUUUCUUUUUUUUUAGGUUUAUUUAUUUGAAAAUCAGAGUUAGAGAAGGAGAGGCAGAGAGAGAGUUCUUCCAUUUGCUUGUUCACUCCCUAAUUGGCCGCAACAGCCGGAGCUGUGCUGAUCCGAAGCCAGGAGCCAGGAGUUUCUUUCAGGUCUCCCACAUGGGUGCAGGGGCCCAAGGACUUGGGCCAUCCUCCACUGCUUUCCCAGGCCAUAGCAGAGAGCUGGAUCAGAAGAAGAGCAGCUGGGACUCAAACCGGCGCCCAUACGGGAUGCUGGCACUUCAGGCCAGGGCUUUAACACACUGUGCCAUAGUGCUGGCUGCAGAUGGUUAUCAUUUCAAAAGAGGUGUGAGGUAGGCAGAAGAGAGACCAAGCCAGCUGAAGAAGACAGCUGCUUGCACGGCUCUACAAGGUGUGUGUUCCGUGGGCCAGGCUGCAGUAGGAAGCUCGCAGAAGGCAGGUCCCAUCUCAGUCUCAGCUGGGAGAAUCAGAUGCACAGAGAGGCUUGAAAAGACGUGCGGGGAAGGUUCUCCCUGCCACUUCUCUGAGGCCGUAGAGGUAGCUCUCCCCACCCCCACUAUAUUGCAGGUGCCUGCUGGCAUAUGUGACUGGUUGAACUCGGGCACAAUGAGAGCCGUCACGUUUUUCUCCUCACUCAGUUCUCCCACACAGAAUUCUUGGUGCUCUAGGUGUGGGUGGAAACAGCUAAAUGUGGCUUCUGGGUGAUGAGGAAACUAUAGUUUUCCUUUUGUUUGAUCAAGAUGUGGGAAGAAGCCAUUGGAGGCAUUCAAAGCAGAAGAAAACCUAAACAAACAGCACUCCAAGAGAAACCCGAAAUCAGAGGGAAGAGAAGCAAACAAGCUGCUGACGCUGAGGGAUCCCAUGGAAAUGUGCUUCGUCAGACUUUCCUAGCCUACGAAAAAUCUUGUUUCUGUUCUGUCUUGGUAGGCUUCGACUCUCGGUACACUCUGCCAUCUAUUUUUCGGAUACAGUCAGUCAUAAUGGAUUCUAAACAGACACUACAGUUGGAGAAAAGAGUGAAGCUAUGAAUAUUCUUGGAUGUUAACAGAAUGAUGAGCAACCUAGAAGGUUAAAAGCAAAAAGCAAGAAAAGUGAUUGGAAGAGACAGAGAAGGUAACUUGUUUGGAAAUUGAACCAGUCUGCUGCCCUCACCAGGAGGCAUGGAACAUGGAAGGUUUGGUAUGAAACACUGUUGCUCUGUGCCCUCUGCAUAGUAUCACUCCCUUUGUGUGUUUUAGGGGCUUAUGUCACAAGGAUUGAAGGCAGAUCAUACCUUU